UUGAUCCUGGCUCAGAAUCAACGCUGGCGGCGUGCCUAAUACAUGCAAGUCGAACGCGAAAGUGGAGCAAUCCAUGAGUAGAGUGGCAAACGGGUGAGUUACACGUGGGUGACCUGCCUUAGAGUGGGGGAUAACGUCCCGAAAGGGACUCUAAUACCGCAUAACAUCCUGCCUUUUAAGAGGUGGAGAUCAAAGCUGGUGAUCGCAAGACCUGGCGCUUUUAGAGGGGCCCGCGCCUGAUUAGCUAGUUGGUGAGGUAACGGCUCACCAAGGCAACGAUCAGUAUCCGGCCUGAGAGGUCGGACGGACACACUGGGACUGAGACACGGCCCAGACUCCUACGGGAGGCUGCAGUAGGGAAUUGUUCGCAAUGGGCGCAAGCCUGACGACGCAACGCCGUGUGGAGGAUGAAGACCUUCGGGUCGUAAACUCCUUUCGAUCGAGACGAAUGGCUUCCCAUCCAAUACAUGGGGAGAAUGACGGUACCGAGAGAAGAAGCUCCGGCUAACUCCGUGCCAGCAGCCGCGGUAAUAAGGU
rnacentral:rRNA from 1 species